GUCUGUCUCCCGUGAUUAAAUAAGUUCCGGUUGUUUUAAUACAAUACAUGAAAAUAAAAAUAGGAGAUGGUGAAAACAUUUUUCACGGUAAUGGUCAUAUUGUCGUAUUAUAUUAUAUGUGAGCAUCCUGUGGUCCACAUCUUGAAUUGAGCAGAGAAAGCUUGACGGGCGAACCACGUGAAGUCGCCUUCAAUAAAUGAUAACACUACUUCACAUACACUGAAGUAUUUUAAGCAUACUUGCGCUUUGCUCACGUGAUCACGUGUUUCUGUUUUGUUUACUGUUGUUUUGUUCAAAAGUGAGGUGAGGAGGUUUCUAAACGAUUUGCCAUUAAGUUACGCAUGCGUUUAAAAUUACUGUUCACUUAUUAAUGAAGUAUUAGACCUACUCUUGAGUAGGUUAUUUUACCGUUAUCCCUUUUUCUCCGUGCUUUUCUGAAAUUUUCUCUUCAAGUAUGGCCAUCUGGCGAAUUUGAGGCAGAUACUGUUAAACUCUAUUCGCAGCUGUGAAAUUCAUCGAUCAACAACGGUGUCUUUUGUUCAUACCUAUCACUGAAGGAUUACUGCUUGUCACAAUGUCAAUAAUAUCAAAGAUCUCAAUCACCAGUAGCCUCAUACCUGUCAAAUGGAACAAAAAUAUCCUUGACAGUCUGUUAUUGUGUAGGAUAAUCUCCAAUUCACGCUGGCUGCCAGGGAUCAUUAAACCAAAGAGAUGUGAAUGAAAGGACAAUAACUGGUGGACUUGAGGUGAACAAACUAGGAGGCA
rnacentral:lncRNA from 1 species